CUAAUCUGCUCAUGAUUUUUAAAUAGCUGCAGUAUUUUGACUGUACAAAGGUAGCAUAAUCAUUUGGUCUUUAAUUGGGAUCUGGCAUGAAAGAUUGGACGAGAAAUAUACUUUCUUUAUAUUUUUUAAAUAACUUAAUUUUUAAGUAAAAAAUCUUAAAUUUAUUUAUAGGACGAGAAGACCCUAUAGAGCUUUAUAGAUUAUUAUAUUAUUAAUAUUUUGGUAUAUUUAUUAUUAUUAAUAUUUAAUUUGUUUUGUUGGGGUGAUAAAAAAAAUACAAUAACUUUUUUUCUUUUGAUCAUUUAUUGAUGUUUUUAUUGAUCCUUUAUUAUGGAUUAUAAGUUUAGCUACCUUAGGGAUAACAGCGUUAUUGUCUUGGAGAGUUCUUAUUGAUAAGAUAGUUUGCGACCUCNAUGUUGGAUUAAAAUAGGUUUUAGGUGUAUAAUUUUAAUAACUAGGUCUGUUCGACCUMUACUUUUUUACUUGAUCUGAGUUCAAACCGGAGAA
rnacentral:rRNA from 1 species